AGAUCAUGACCUGAGCCGAAGUCGGACGCUCAACUGACUGAGCCCCCCAGGCACCCCAAGAAUUCUCUUUUAAACUGUGCUUUCCAUUCAGCUCUUGAGAAAGCAGGGAUAGCUUCUUCCUUCUCAUGUGGUUCUCCCAUGUAGAUAACAUCAUCUAUGAUCCAUAAGGACUGAACCUAUUUCCUGAGUUGUCCAAAAUGGAAGCAGUGGUCAAGGAUUCAUUGAGCAACGUCAACACGGCCCUGAUGAUGACACUUUAAAGCCUCUGAGAAUAACUUCCCUUUAAUUACUUUUCCAGUCCUGCAAGGCACAAAGCCAAACAAAGAAAUCACAGGGCUGCAUUUAGUCCUCAAACCACCCAAUUGCCACCUGCUCGAAUACAGUCUCCCAUUUGAUGCUUGGAUUCUGCCACAGCAUCCCUGGGAAGUGAUGGCUCCAUUCUCCAGAAGACCAAAGGGGUGGCGGUCAAUAAGAGAAGCCACCCAGCUCUUCCCUUGCCCAUCACACUGACUGGCGAGCUUACAGGUCAACCCCUUCACUCAUAUCUGAUGUCAUCGCCUUCGGCUAAGAGGACCCUAAGUUAAGGAAACCUGUGCGGACGUUCCCCAUUGUCCACAUAUGACCAUGCAGUGGAGCACGCUUUGCCAGGUGACCAUGGAGGUGAGAAGUUAAAGUUUGCCGGCAGUGGAACAGAUGCUGUUAAAUCUCAAGUGCAUUUUCAGCCUCCUCCUAUGCUGAAAUGUGUUUAUUUCAAUUGGUCUGGCUUGCAAAUUUCCAAUAGGCAACAAGGAACGGGCCGGCUUCAAUCUCUAUCAAACUUUGGAGCAUAGGGAUAUCUUCUUUCCCACAAUCUAUGUUGCUUUUGUUGAAGAGCUUCUCAUUCCCUGUCCUAAGUAAACAGUCACGUGUUGUCCAUUAAAUGCGGAACAGAGCUUCCUCACUGAGUGUCACAUUCUUGGCUGGACUUGCAAAGCAUCCAGAUGUAAUUUGAAAGACGUAAUUCAAAAAUCAUGGAGAACAAAAGUUCUGCUAAAAUCUGACAAGAUUGGAAUUCCA
rnacentral:lncRNA from 1 species